rnacentral:rRNA from 1 species
UGCAGUCGAGCGAACAGAAGGGAGCUUGCUCCCGGAUGUUAGCGGCGGACGGGUGAGUAACACGUGGGUAACCUGCCUGUAAGACUGGGAUAACUCCGGGAAACCGGAGCUAAUACCGGAUAGUUCCUUGAACCGCAUGGUUCAAGGAUGAAAGACGGUUUCGGCUGUCACUUACAGAUGGACCCGCGGCGCAUUAGCUAGUUGGUGGGGUAAUGGCUCACCAAGGCGACGAUGCGUAGCCGACCUGAGAGGGUGAUCGGCCACACUGGGACUGAGACACGGCCCAGACUCCUACGGGAGGCAGCAGUAGGGAAUCUUCCGCAAUGGACGAAAGUCUGACGGAGCAACGCCGCGUGAGUGAUGAAGGUUUUCGGAUCGUAAAGCUCUGUUGUUAGGGAAGAACAAGUGCGAGAGUAACUGCUCGCACCUUGACGGUACCUAACCAGAAAGCCACGGCUAACUACGUGCCAGCAGCCGCGGUAAUACGUAGGUGGCAAGCGUUGUCCGGAAUUAUUGGGCGUAAAGGGCUCGCAGGCGGUUUCUUAAGUCUGAUGUGAAAGCCCCCGGCUCAACCGGGGAGGGUCAUUGGAAACUGGGAAACUUGAGUGCAGAAGAGGAGAGUGGAAUUCCACGUGUAGCGGUGAAAUGCGUAGAGAUGUGGAGGAACACCAGUGGCGAAGGCGACUCUCUGGUCUGUAACUGACGCUGAGGAGCGAAAGCGUGGGGAGCGAACAGGAUUAGAUACCCUGGUAGUCCACGCCGUAAACGAUGAGUGCUAAGUGUUAGGGGGUUUCCGCCCCUUAGUGCUGCAGCUAACGCAUUAAGCACUCCGCCUGGGGAGUACGGUCGCAAGACUGAAACUCAAAGGAAUUGACGGGGGCCCGCACAAGCGGUGGAGCAUGUGGUUUAAUUCGAAGCAACGCGAAGACCUUACCAGUCUUGACAUCCUCUGACAACCCUAGAGAUAGGGCUUUCCCUUCGGGGACAGAGUGACAGUGU